UUCUGAAGUGAUAAAAGCGUAACAAGGUCUCCGUAGGUGAACCUGCGGAGGGAUCAUUAC
rnacentral:rRNA from 1 species